AAGAGUGAGAUGGGGGGGUGCAGAAGAGACCCAAAACAGGUGAGUCCUAGAGAUGGGAAAGGCGAAGACUUAGGAGAUUCCGAGAGGGAGAAACUGAAAACAAGAUGCGCGAGCCUUCACAGUAUCGGAGAAUUGCCAAGCGCUGACCUGUUCAAGGCUCAGUCUAGGCCCACAGGGUAUGGUGGUGAGCUGACAAGGGCCUGCUCUCCCUGGGCUCCCAGGAGGCACGUGCAAUACACACUGAAGAGUGCUUCAGAAGUGAAGCAGGAUGACAGAUCAGGGCAACUAGAUAAGCUGCGUCAAGAGGUCCUGACUGCCAAGUAAUGUUUGAACAGAAAUGUGCAUUCUGAGAGGGCAGGGGAGGAGAGAAGGGCUUGGGACAGGAACCCUGGCCACCAAAGGUGGCAGAAGAAGCCUGAGUAAAACCAGACUUCCAAGGAGGCCUUUGUGAGCAGAAUAAACAAGGGCUAGUUGACUGGGUAAGAAGUCCAAAGUGCAGAGGGCAGCUCGGGCCUUGUAGCCUGGGAAGGAAUUUGAACUUUAUUCUGGGUUUGAUGAGAAGCCUUGGGGAGCUCUGAGCACAGGCAUGCUGGGAUCAUAUUUUUGUUUAAACAAAACAAUAGCAGAAUUGUGGUGUUGUGCUGGGAAUAGACUUGGGGGUCAAAAGCAGAAGCAGGGGUUGGGAUUUUUGGAGUUGAUGCCUACAGUGGUGGCAAGCUGGCUGUUCAGGGAGGUAAUGAAGCCCAGGGAAGGGGAGAGAGGAUUCUCCGGGUGGGCGCUGUGGCCAGGAAGGGGGAGGCAGGGUUUGGUGGUAGGAAUCCAGGGUUGUCGUAGGGAUGUGUCAGGUGGGGAUGCCUUUGGGAAGUAAGUCCAAGUCCGAGUAUGGAGCAACCAGUUGGAGACAUCAGACAGAGUGGUUAAAAGGUCGUGGCUGGAAAUACAAGUCUUGGAAACGUCAGCAGAUGAAGGCAUGGAAAGCCACAGAAUGGGAUGGUAACUUAGCAGCUGUGUGCAGGUAGAGUGACCCUGGCAAGAGUCUUGGGGGGACAUCUACACUGGGGGAGAAGAGCAGGUAGCAAAGGGAGCCAAGAAGGAGUGACCAGAGGCUGGCAGGAAGCAGGAGAGUCCUUGAGGGCCUAAGCACAAGCAUUUCAAGAGGAGGAGGAGGGGGCUG
rnacentral:lncRNA from 1 species